rnacentral:rRNA from 1 species
GACGAACGCUGGCGGCGUGCCUAAUACAUGCAAGUUGAGCGCUGAAGGUUGGUACUUGUACCAACUGGAUGAGCAGCGAACGGGUGAGUAACGCGUGGGGAAUCUGCCUUUGAGCGGGGGACAACAUUUGGAAACGAAUGCUAAUACCGCAUAAAAACUUUAAACACAAGUUUUAAGUUUGAAAGAUGCAAUUGCAUCACUCAAAGAUGAUCCCGCGUUGUAUUAGCUAGUUGGUGAGGUAAAGGCUCACCAAGGCGAUGAUACAUAGCCGACCUGAGAGGGGGGACCGCCCACAUUGGGACUGAGCCACGGCCAAACCCCCUCCGGGAGGCAGAAGUAGGGAACCUUCGGCAUUGGACGAAAGCCUGACGGGGCAACGCGGCGUGGGGGAAGAAGGUUUCCGGACCGUAAACCUUUUUUGUUAGGGAAGAACGUGGGGGGGGGUGAAAGCCCAUCCAGUGGCGGUAACUAACCAGAAAGGGACGGCUAACUACGUG